GUUGUAUGGUUAAGUGACUAAGCGUACACGGUGGAUGCCUUGGCAGUCAGAGGCGAUGAAGGACGUAUUAACUUGCGAUAAGCCCAGAUUAGGUAGUAAAACCACUUGAGUCUGGGAUUUCCGAAUGGGGAAACCCACUUACAUAAGUAAGUAUCGUUAUGUGAAUACAUAGCAUAACGAGGCGAACCGGGGGAACUGAAACAUCUAAGUACCCCGAGGAAAAGAAAUCAACCGAGAUUCCGAAAGUAGCGGCGAGCGAAAUUGGACUAGCCCUUAAGCUUUAUACGCGUUAGACGAACAGCUGGAAAGCGGCGAUACAGGGUGAUAGUCCCGUAACUGACGACGUGUUCAGUGAAAUCGAGUAGGGCGGGACACGUGAUAUCCUGUCUGAAUAUGGGGGGACCAUCCUCCAAGGCUAAAUACUACUGACUGACCGAUAGUGAACCAGUACCGUGAGGGAAAGGCGAAAAGAACCCCUGUGAGGGGAGUGAAAUAGAACCUGAAACCGUGUACGUACAAGCAGUAGGAGCAGGCUUGUCCUGUGACUGCGUACCUUUUGUAUAAUGGGUCAGCGACUUAUAUUCAGUGGCAAGGUUAACCAUCUAGGGGAGCCGUAGGGAAACCGAGUCUUAACUGGGCGUUCAGUCUCUGGAUAUAGACCCGAAACCAGGUGAUCUAGCCAUGGGCAGGUUGAAGGUUGAGUAACAUCAACUGGAGGACCGAACCGACUAAUGUUGAAAAAUUAGCGGAUGACUUGUGGCUAGGGGUGAAAGGCCAAUCAAACCUGGAGAUAGCUGGUUCUCCCCGAAAGCUAUUUAGGUAGCGCCUCGGACGAAUACUACUGGGGGUAGAGCACUGUUAAGGCUAGGGGGUCAUCCCGACUUACCAACCCUUUGCAAACUCCGAAUACCAGUAAGUACUAUCCGGGAGACACACGGCGGGUGCUAACGUCCGUCGUGGAGAGGGAAACAACCCAGACCGCCAGCUAAGGUCCCAAAUUACUACUAAGUGGGAAACGAUGUGGGAAGGCUCAGACAGCCAGGAUGUUGGCUUAGAAGCAGCCAUCAUUUAAAGAAAGCGUAAUAGCUCACUGGUCGAGUCGGCCUGCGCGGAAGAUGUAACGGGGCUAAGUAGUAAACCGAAGCUGCGGCAAUACUCUUUGUGUAUUGGGUAGGGGAGCGUUCUGUAAGCGGUUGAAGGUGUGUGGUAACGCAUGCUGGACGUAUCAGAAGUGCGAAUGCUGACAUGAGUAACGAUAAAGGGGGUGAAAAACCUCCUCGCCGGAAGACCAAGGGUUCCUGUCCAACGUUAAUCGGGGCAGGGUAAGUCGACCCCAAGGCGAGGCCGAAAGGCGUAGUCGAUGGGAAACGGGUUAAUAUUCCCGUACUUCUUACAAUUGCGAUGGGGGGACGGAGAAGGCUAGGUGGGCCUGGCGACGGUUGUCCAGGUUCAAGUGCGUAGGCUGAGAAAUUAGGUAAAUCCGGUUUCUCUUAAGGCUGAGACACGACGUCGAGCUACUACGGUAGUGAAGUCAUUGAUGCCAUGCUUCCAGGAAAAGCCUCUAAGCUUCAGAUUGUAAGGAAUCGUACCCCAAACCGACACAGGUGGUCGGGUAGAGAAUACCAAGGCGCUUGAGAGAACUCGGGUGAAGGAACUAGGCAAAAUGGUACCGUAACUUCGGGAGAAGGUACGCUCUCGACGGUGAAGUCCCUCGCGGAUGGAGCUAUUGAGAGUCGCAGAUACCAGGUGGCUGCAACUGUUUAUUAAAAACACAGCACUGUGCAAAAUCGCAAGAUGACGUAUACGGUGUGACGCCUGCCCGGUGCCGGAAGGUUAAUUGAUGGGUUAGACUUCGGUCGAAGCUCUUGAUCGAAGCCCCGGUAAACGGCGGCCGUAACUAUAACGGUCCUAAGGUAGCGAAAUUCCUUGUCGGGUAAGUUCCGACCUGCACGAAUGGCGUAAUGAUGGCCACGCUGUCUCCACCCGAGACUCAGUGAAAUUGAAAUCGCUGUGAAGAUGCAGUGUACCCGCGGCUAGACGGAAAGACCCGUGAACCUUUACUACAGCUUGGCACUGAACAUUGACCCUACAUGU
rnacentral:rRNA from 1 species